CGCCUACGGGGCGCAGCAGUGAGGAAUAUUGGUCAAUGGGCGGAAGCCUGAACCAGCCAAGUCGCGUGAGGGAAUAAGGCCCUACGGGUCGUAAACCUCUUUUGCCGGGGAGCAAGGGCGGGGACGUGUCCCGGCCCGGAGAGUACCCGGAGAAAAAGCAUCGGCUAACUCCGUGCCAGCAGCCGCGGUAAUACGGAGGAUCCAAGCGUUAUCCGGAUUUAUUGGGUUUAAAGGGUGCGUAGGCGGUUUGAUAAGUUAGAGGUGAAAUACCGGUGCUCAACACCGGAACUGCCUCUAAUACUGUU
rnacentral:rRNA from 1 species